GUAGGGAAUAUUGCACAAUGGAGGAAACUCUGAUGCAGCGACGCCGCGUGAGUGAUGAAGGCCUUCGGGUCGUAAAACUCUGUGAUAAGGGAAGAUGAUGACGGUACCUUAUCAGAAAAGACCGGCUAACUUCGUGCCAGCAGCCGCGGUAAUACGAGGGGUCUAAGCGUUGUUCGGAAUCACUGGGCGUAAAGCGGGUGUAGGUGGCUAUGCAAGUUGGAUGUGAAAGCCCCGGGCUCAACCCGGGAAGUGCAUCCAAAACUACGUAGCUUGAGUGCGGGAGAGAAAUGCAGAAUUCCUGGUGUAGUGGUGAAAUACGUAGAUAUCAGGAGGAACUCCGGUGGCGAAGGCGGCCUUUUGGCCCAGCACUGACACUCAGACCCGAAAGCGUGGGUAGCAAACAGGAUUAGAUACCCGGGUAGUCC
rnacentral:rRNA from 1 species